CGCAUACCGCCGACCGGCCCAUGCCCUAGCUUCACUGCCCGACGCUUACUUCGAUCGCCGAUGCCCUAGCCGAGCCCUGCUGAAGCUGUGCCCUUGCUCUGCCGCCGGCCACAGAAUAGGGUUUUUAAUCUGCUGCGGCUAAAUUGGUUUUCUGAUCAGUUGAGCGUCAACAGGAGCUUGGGAUUUAGUAACUUUGUGAUCCCCAGCAGCGG